GGUUAAAGCCCUUCCUGGUCAUGUCUUCCCUCGCCGUUAGGAUACUUCUAGAGUUCUUAAACCAAGUUGGGCUUUCUGCUCUGAACACCAAGGAUGCUUAUCUCUAGUGCUCAGGAAGACACCAAAGUUCUACUCUUGGGAGAUUAGGAACAAAUAGGAGGAGGUGGACCAUGAACAUGAAACCGAGCACAGGAUGGAUCAUUUGUUCUGCUGCAUAUUUUUCAACAUUGCCAUCCAGCCAGGGGCCUAAAGCAUAGAUGAGAGCAUCAUGACUAUGGGCCAAAGUAAACCUUUCUUCUCUUUAUGAAUGGAUCCUCCCAGAUACAUGUGGAAUUGGAGAGACCCGAUGGUGCUGUGGAGAUGAGCAAGAAGGGGUUACAGCCAUAACUACACACUUAUUUGGAGAUCUGCAAGGGCUCCAAGCCCGACAGAGGGGACACUCUCUGUCCUCACU
ensembl:lncRNA